rnacentral:rRNA from 1 species
CCUACGGGUGGCAGCAGUGGGGAAUAUUGCACAAUGGGGGAAACCCUGAUGCAGCGACGCCGCGUGAGUGAAGAAGUAUUUCGGUACGUAAAGCUCUAUCAGCAGGGAAGAAAAAAAGGCCUGUGGACUGUGGACGGGACCGGACCAAGAAGCCCCGGCUAACUACGUGCCAGCAGCCGCGGGAAUACGUAGGGGGCAAGCGUGAUCCGGAUUUACUGGGGGGACAGGGAGCGUAGACGGCAGCGCAAGGCGGGAGUGAAAUGCCGGGGCCCAACCCCGGAACGGCUUUGGAAACUGUGCAGCUGGAGUGCAGGAGUGGUAAGCGGCCUUCCUCGUGUAGCG